rnacentral:rRNA from 1 species
ACUCCUACGGGAGGCAGCAGUAGGGAAUCUUCCACAAUGGGCGCAAGCCUGAUGGAGCAACACCGCGUGAGUGAAGAAGGGUUUCGGCUCGUAAAGCUCUGUUGUUAAAGAAGAACACGUAUGAGAGUAACUGUUCAUACGUUGACGGUAUUUAACCAGAAAGUCACGGCUAACUACGUGCCAGCAGCCGCGGUAAUACGUAGGUGGCAAGCGUUAUCCGGAUUUAUUGGGCGUAAAGAGAGUGCAGGCGGUUUUCUAAGUCUGAUGUGAAAGCCUUCGGCUUAACCGGAGAAGUGCAUCGGAAACUGGAUAACUUGAGUGCAGAAGAGGGUAGUGGAACUCCAUGUGUAGCGGUGGAAUGCGUGGAUAUAUGGAAGAACACCAGUGGCGAAGGCGGCUACCUGGUCUGCAACUGACGCUGAGACUCGAAAGCAUGGGUAGCGAACAGGAUUAGAUACCCUGGUAGGAUAGCG